AUGUGUACAAGGAAGCAUGAAGGAGGGCUUGGCUUUAGGGACCCGGAGGCGUUUAACCAAGCUCUACUAGCGAAACAGGCUUGGCGGAUCUUACAUGUUCCUAGUUCACUAUGCGUAAGGGUUCUCAUGGCACGGUAUUUUCCGGAUAGCUCAAUUCUUAGUGCAACUUGCCCUGGAGGGGGGUCAUAUACUUUCAGAAAUAUAAUCCACGGA
rnacentral:rRNA from 1 species